ACCUGAACCAGACAAUCCAGUUAAUGCAAAAAUUCAAAACCUUCCUGUUCAAUAAGUACUGCAACGGCAAAGAGUGUCUGCUGUGUCACAAAGGUUGGAUCUUCUUCAGUGAUUCAUGUUACUUUCUCAGUAGUGUUUCUUUGUCCUGGGAUCAAAGUCGUGCUUUCUGUCAGUUAGAAUCUGCUGAUCUGGUUGUUAUUAAUAAUCAGCAGGAACAGGAAUUCAUUUAUAACAACAUAAAUAACUACGCAUACUGGUUGGGGAUACAGAGUGAUGCGAGGGCUGGAAGCAACUGGUUUUGGCUUGACGGUCGUGUCGACAC